GGCGGCGUAGCUCAGCUGGUCAGAGCAGAGGAAUCAUAAUCCUUUAGUCAGGGGUUCGAAUCCCUUCGCCGCUA
rnacentral:tRNA from 1 species